UACAUGGGGUGCAAACGUUGCUCGGAAUCAUUGGGCGUAAAGAGCUCGUAGGCGGUUUGUCGCGUCUGCUGUGAAAACCCGAGGCUCAACCUCGGGCCUGCAGUGGGUACGGGCAGACUAGAGUGCGGUAGGGGAGAUUGGAAUUCCUGGUGUAGCGGUGGAAUGCGCAGAUAUCAGGAGGAACACCAAUGGCGAAGGCAGAUCUCUGGGCCGUAACUGACGCUGAGGAGCGAAAGCGUGGGGAGCGAACAGG
rnacentral:rRNA from 1 species